rnacentral:rRNA from 1 species
UAGCCAUGCAUGUCUAAGUAUAAGCAAUUAUACCGUGAAACUGCGAAUGGCUCAUUAAAUCAGUUAUCGUUUAUUUGAUAGUACCUUACCACUUGGAUAACCGUGGUAAUUCUAGAGCUAAUACAUGCUAAAAACCCCGACUUCGGAAGGGGUGUGUUUAUUAGAUAAAAAACCAAUGCCCUUCGGGGCUCCUUGGUGAUUCAUGAUAACCUAACGGAUCGCAUGGCCUUGCGCCGGCGACGGUUCAUUCAAAUUUCUGCCCUAUCAACUUUCGAUGGUAAGGUAUUGGCUUACCAUGGUUUCAACGGGUAACGGGGAAUUAGGGUUCGAUUCCGGAGAGGGAGCCUGAGAAACGGCUACCACAUCCAAGGAAGGCAGCAGGCGCGCAAAUUACCCAAUCCCGACUCGGGGAGGUAGUGACAAUAAAUACUGAUACAGGGCUCUUUUGGGUCUUGUAAUUGGAAUGAGUACAAUUUAAACCCCUUAACGAGGAACAAUUGGAGGGCAAGUCUGGUGCCAGCAGCCGCGGUAAUUCCAGCUCCAAUAGCGUAUAUUAAAGUUGUUGCAGUUAAAAAGCUCGUAGUUGAAACUUGGGUCUGGCUAGCGGGUCCGCCUCACCGCGUGCACUUGUCCGGCUGGACCUUUCCUUCUGGAGAACCUCAUGCCCUUCACUGGGUGUGUUGGGGAACCAGGACUUUUACUUUGAAAAAAUUAGAGUGUUCAAAGCAGGCCUUUGCUCGAAUACGUUAGCAUGGAAUAAUAGAAUAGGACGUGCGGUCCUAUUUUGUUGGUUUCUAGGAUCGCCGUAAUGAUUAAUAGGGAUAGUCGGGGGCAUCAGUAUUCAAUUGUCAGAGGUGAAAUUCUUGGAUUUAUUGAAGACUAACUACUGCGAAAGCAUUUGCCAAGGAUGUUUUCAUUAAUCAGUGAACGAAAGUUAGGGGAUCGAAGACGAUCAGAUACCGUCGUAGUCUUAACCGUAAACUAUGCCGACUAGGGAUCGGGCGAUGUUUCUAUCUUGACUCGCUCGGCACCUUACGAGAAAUCAAAGUUUUUGGGU